AACGCAGUGCGUUCUAGAUCCUUCUUUUCUCCGUGAACUUGAGAUGAGAGCAGAUGUCUGUCGCUGUUCCAGGAGAUUCAGUGCUCAGAAUUUAAUAUAAAAGACGACUGAGAGAAAAGCAGAUCGUGUCUGAGAGUGAUAUCUUCAAACGUGUACCAUCGGGAGUUUUCCUGCUUCAUAUGUAUAUUGAAUGAGUUUCCUUGGCCAGGUUUUUUUUUUCCUUCUUGGUUUGGUUCCAUGUGAUGUUCUGUUGACGUUCAGCUGCUGAACGUGGUCUGCUCUGGAUGUGAAUCGAGUGAAGUGUGAACCCUUCCUGGAUUGUGACCUGUCUCAACUCUCUCCUGUGUCUGUAACGGUGGAGUUGGACUGGCGAGCCGCCCAUUAACUGAACCCUGUAAACAUUCCUGUUUUGAACCGUAAUUGAACUUGUACAUCUUCAAAUGGUAGGAGUGAAAUUUCGUAUCACACUUAUUUCGGCAUAGACUUUAGAGACUUCAGAUUUCAUCGAUUCCUGGACUGAACUGAUUUUUUUUAUUUAUUUUUUUAUCAUUUACUUUUUUUCUCAAAGAAUCAAUAUGAGUGUUCAUCACGAGCAUUGGACUCUUGAUCAAUUUUGAAGUGUUCAGACUGAAUGUAAUUUUGUUUUGAGUUUUUUCAGAGGUUGUUAUGAGUAAAUGUUCAAAGUAUUGAAUAACUAAACUAAGAACAAAUUUAAGAACAAAACCGUUAAAGAAGGGAAAAUAUUGAUUACAUUCUUGAUGAUGAAUAUCUUUAAGAAUUAACUUGGUGAAUUUGCUAUCAACAAAGAAAAGAAAAACAGAAGGGAUGAGUGAUAUUACCAUAAAACCUGUAAGGAAAGAAAACGGUACAAAUCGUUACUAUUGAAUGUAAACUAAACUGAGGUUAUUGUACACUGCAUAUUAUAUAUUUUUUUUAAAUAAUUUUUGUGGUCCUUGUUAAAAUAUAAUCUCUUCUUA